rnacentral:rRNA from 1 species
GAUGAACGCUGGCGGCGUGCCUAAUACAUGCAAGUCGAGCGAACAGACGAGGAGCUUGCUCCUCUGAUGUUAGCGGCGGACGGGUGAGUAACACGUGGCUAACCUACCUAUAAGACUGGGAUAACUUCGGGAAACCGGAGCUAAUACCGGAUAACAUGUUGAACCGCAUGGUUCAACAGUGAAAGACGGUCUUGCUGUCACUUAUAGAUGGAUCCGCGCCGCAUUAGCUAGUUGGUAAGGUAACGCCUUACCAAGGCAACGAUGCGUAGCCGACCUGAGAGGGUGAUCGGCAACAGUGGAACGGAGACACGGACCAGACUCCGACGGGAGGCAGCAGUAGGGAAUCUUCCGGAGUGGGCGGAAGGCUGACGUAGCAAAGGCGCGUGAGUGAAGAAGAUCUUCGGAUCGUAAAACUCUGUGAUUAGGGAAGAACAAAUGUGUAAGUAACUAUGCACGUCUUGACGGUACCUAAUCAGAAAGCCACGGCUAACUACGCG